AUGGACUGUACUUUCACAGACAGCACUGAUGUUAGAUGUACGUGAAAUAGGCUAAACUGAAAAUAAGAAAGGCUGAGGCAGAGAGGAUAAUAUAGCUCCAGCCUAUCUCCCAGCACCUUGUUAAUUUCUCUCAAUCUCCAGCCACAAAUCCGAGACACAACGCUCUUCCUCCAAAGAGGUCGCGCCUUCUCUGUGGUGGUUCUCAGGGAUCCGCCCCAGCUCCUUCUCCGUUCCCAGCCCCACACACUGGGAUCACCAGGCACCCAAGAUCCCACCUCUCAGGUGGUAUCUUCAGCGCAGGCUGCCACUCAGCCCCCCUCCAGGGAUCUGGGGCAGAAGGCGA
rnacentral:lncRNA from 1 species